rnacentral:rRNA from 1 species
UACGUAGGGGGCAAGCGUUGUCCGGAUUUAUUGGGCGUAAAGAGCGUGUAGGCGGCCAGACAGGUCCGUUGUGAAAACUCGAGGCUCAACCUCGAGACGUCGAUGGAAACCGUCUGGCUAGAGUCCGGAAGAGGAGAGUGGAAUUCCUGGUGUAGCGGUGAAAUGCGCAGAUAUCAGGAAGAACACCUAUGGCGAAGGCAGCUCUCUGGGACGGUACUGACGCUGAGACGCGAAAGCGUGGGGAGCAAACAGG